CGGACGGGUGAGUAAUGCCUAGGAAUCUGCCUGGUAGUGGGGGACAACGUUUCGAAAGGAACGCUAAUACCGCAUACGUCCUACGGGAGAAAGCAGGGGACCUUCGGGCCUUGCGCUAUCAGAUGAGCCUAGGUCGGAUUAGCUAGUUGGUGAGGUAAUGGCUCACCAAGGCGACGAUCCGUAACUGGUCUGAGAGGAUGAUCAGCCACACUGGAACUGAGACACGGUCCAGACUCCUACGGGAGGCAGCAGCC
rnacentral:rRNA from 1 species